GAGGGAGGGGAGGCGCUGUGCUGAGUGUAAGGACAGGCCAAGCAAGCAGAGCUGAGAAGCGAACGCCGGGGGUGGCGGGGCAGGGUGGCAGGGCCGGCUGCCCGGCCGAUGCAGCCUCUCUGGACUGCAGGAGCCCAGAGCACGAUGUGGAGACAGCACGGGUGGAAACUGUUCACAGGAAAUUUUCUACAUGGGAAAACCAAAGAAUGGAGCAAUUGUUGGACGGAAGACCAUGUCUGCUACUCAGAGGCACGUGUGGAAUAAGUAGAGCAUUGGAUUUGACUGAGGGUUUCAAAACAGCUGAGAAGAAGAGAAAGAAAGUUGACUGCAUUACUAAAAAUAUAAUUAAUGGAUAUUUACCUGGUUUGCGUUCUAAAAGCUGCUGUAAAUGAAACACUGCUUGUUCAUAGUCCUGUUUCCUGAACAUGAGAUCUGCCAUCAUCUAUAAAGGACACCUGGGUGGCUCAGAUGGCUAAGUGUCUAA